CACGCGAGGGGAGGGGGCCGCGCGGCGGGGCCGCUCAGCACGCUCGGCAAUCGAUUAGAGGACAAGUGCCGCCUCGCCUCACGCGGACACACGCGCACACAUACACACACCACACACACACGCACACACACACGCACAGUCACACGCGCGCGCGCGCGCGCACCGCCCCCUGAGGGCACCGGGCGGCGGAGGGCGAAGUUGGGCGUUCGUUGAGUGAACGUGAGGUGAGGAACUUGAGGUAUAUAUAAACCAAAGGAGUGCAAGAGAUGAAGAUUCCUCCUCUCCCCAGGUGCUCCAAUUGCUGUAUUCAGUUGUCAGGAGAGCGUGGAAAGAAGAUAUUUAUCGCAUUAGCCCUGCACGAUCAAGGAGAAGGCUGGCUGUUUGAGGAUGCUUUAUUAAUGAAUGCUAGAGGACAUCCACCCCUCCUAAGGCACAGACUGGGGAGGCAGUCACUCCUGAAGCCGUGGAAUUCCCUUGCAUGAAGAAGAGGAUUUUUAAACCCAAAAGCCCAGUCCACGCAGGCACUCCACUGCAGGCAUUUUAGUUUCUAAAACCAGGUUUUUUAGAGACCACCAGAAAGACCUUCUAAGGCCUCUCCCCUGUCUGCUAUGACUUGCUUCCAUGCACUUGAGAAACUCCUUGGCAUGUUCUGAGGCUCCACAGCACCGAGAGAAGUAGUGAGAGAGGAAGGAACCCCAACCAACCACAGCAAAGUGACCAGUGAGUAACUGUGAACAUCUGCGAGGCCCUCACAUCUCUCCCAGACAUCAUGGAACAGGAGAAAACAUUUGUGGAACAGUGUGUCAAUUCCAUUUUCCACUUCUUUUUGUGUAGAUGGGGAUAUAAAAGACCGGGCUCUGUACUGAAGGGCAGAGGUCCCAGAUCCAGCCCCUGGGUGCAGCAGGACAUGCUCUGGAGGAGCUCUGUGCUCAGAAAAUUUCAAACAAAGCAUUAGAGUAGUGCAGGUCACCAAACCUUCACUUUUUGCCUCUCUAUACACCCACAGUUGUGUUCCUCCUUGUGGGACAUAGAGGCAGCAUCUCACUUGAAACUCUGAUAGAACUCAACUCGUAGACACAAUUAAAAUUAAUUACAGAGCUGCAGAAAUGUCUCUGUACAUUGCUAAUAAAGAAAUAAUUGAAUUUGAUGGUCAUCUAAAUAUCUCUCUUAACCACAGUGUGUAUGACUGGAAAUACAAGUGUUUCGCUCCUGUUAAUACCUCUGGGCACACACACACAUCUGGGUUCUGCAACUCAGAGCUUGGUACACUUAUUAGGAAUCUGCUCUGAUCAAGCUUGCUGCCAUUCCCCAGGGGCUUUGUCCCACUUCAGGACUCGAACACACCACCACGGUGCUGAUAACAAGUGUAGGAGUUCAUGAUUCAUUCAGCAAAUUAUUUUAUAUGCUGAUGAAGUUUGAUUACUCUCAACACCAGCACAGACUAUGGAGCAAGAGAGCAGCUUGUUGAUCCCAAAGCGGGGCACUUCUUCCAGCUCCUGCUCUUCUACUCAAGCCCAGGCUGAAAAUGAUGAUCAGUACACCACAAUACGUGCAAUGGAAGUUGUGUAGAUUCCAUUCAGAAGACUCUAGCUGCUGCAUUUUGUUUAUUUUGAAUCUAGAGGCUUGUGCUUAGUGACAGGUUGCCGGUGUCCAUCUGCAGCUUGUUUUUUGUUUUCAUGCAUGCUGCACAUUUGUGUGACAAGACGUGGGCAUGUUCAGCACGGAACAAACCCGCUUGUUUUUCACCUACAGCCUGCCCACAGGGGAGCCCCAGCCCAAAAGCAUUUCUCCUCUCCUGCCCCAGGAUGGGACAGCUGCAGAAGCCCCCCAAAUCCUGGUGCUCUAUAAGAGAUGGGAUUCAGUUUCACUACAUUUAUCAUACCAUCAUGCAUUAGAAUGUAGAAUAGCUUUACUGCUGUUAUUGUAGAGCAGGAUCCACAUUUUGGGGAAAUUUGAGCAUUAAACCCAACCAGGCUCUCCCAAGCUUGCAGUAUCCCGUAACCAGGAUCACACAACCAGUGUCUGCUCAUCUCAGUAGAGAUUUAGCAGACAAAGCACAGGAUUAACACCUACUAAACCUCACUUGGCCCUUCCCAUUGAUUUAUGUACCUUGCCAGCAGUCCUGAAGCUGGGCACGUACUAAUUACCUCAGUCUGUUAAGUAAGCAUCCUAUUUUACUUCCUCCACUGAGUCCUUUCCUGGUCACUAAGAGAAAGUCUCACAAUUCCUCAUGUCCAUCCUUGUGUGGCCUGGCCAGUCUCACCUGCUCAAGCUUCAGGCUGCCACAAGAGGAUGCGACCAGAGUUACUUUUCCAGCAGAUUUUGGAGUUAUCAUCACCUUCAAAGUGAAUUCCAGAGCUCGCACCAUGCAGAGACUUCACAGUUACUUGCGAAAAACCCUGCCUAAAAGUCCUUCAGUUGGUGCCAAGUGCCACACAAGACGAGCGCUGCAGUCAGAUGGCAACGUAGGAGAUCCAGAAGUUGUGCCAAGGCUCUGUCUGGGGGGAAAGAAAGGAAAAAAAAAAGGGGAGGGGAAUAGUCACCCACGCUGAACAGCCUUCCUUUGCAUGCUCCUUGGCAAAGCUCCUUAUGUGCCCUGAAACAGCCCCGCACCACCUGAGCAUGCUGAAAAUGGGAACAGAGGAGCCCAGCAGGCAGCAGCUUUGCCAGCUGUUGGUCUUGGGAGAACUUCUACAGCAUGCACUUGUUGUAAACACAGCCCUGAGCUGCCGGAGCUCAGGGAGCACUGGGACACAGCUCUCAGAUGCAGGGUUU